UACGAAGGUCCCAAGCGUUGUUCGGAAUCACUGGGCGUAAAGGGAGCGUAGGCGGCGUGGUAAGUCAGAUGUGAAAUCCCGGGGCUCAACCCCGGAACUGCAUCCGAUACUGCCAUGCUAGAGGAUUGGAGAGGUAGCUGGAAUUCUUGGUGUAGCAGUGAAAUGCGUAGAGAUCAAGAGGAACACUCGUGGCGAAAGCGGGUCUCUGGGCCGAUACUGACGCUGAGGAGCGAAAGCGUGGGGAGCGAACAGG
rnacentral:rRNA from 1 species